rnacentral:lncRNA from 1 species
AAACUUCAAGGAUCCAAUGUAGCAAUCCAAACAGCAAUUAUGUUCCCUCGAAAAUUCCAGUCGACCCAUCUAUGCAAAAUGAAUUGCAUAAAUCGGUGCUACUUCUAACCUUCUGCCGCAAUUCACUGUAUCAAUUAUUAUAGUGCCCCACCAACAACAAUUAGUUCAUUAUUUAAUUCAAAAUUUGGUUGUGAUAAGUAUUGCCAAUUUGAAGAAUUAAUAAUCCAAUUUUGCCGUUCAGUUGGUGGCCCACGUUUCCAGAACCUAGGCAAUUAACUCCACAGCUUUUGAUUUGCAAACUGCCAAUUGAUGCCGUCCGCCACGUCGUCACGCAUAUACGCCGGAAAAAUAUAUACCCUUCCAUUUUUCUGUAUUCUGAUGAAUUGUCUCUGCAUAUUACUUGGAAUUUGUUUUCGUGGAUUGUCUUGAUUUUUCGUCGGUCCGUCUUUAAUCAACAUCCGAGAACAUCCAAAAUUGUAAGAAUUUAAAAAUUACACAAAUUCCUAUGUCCCACAGGCUCACAAUUUUUGAAUCUAAUUAUACAGAAAAUUAAAUCAAGAUGAUGGAGUCGUAAUCCACCUAUCUUGUUACAGACUCGAAAUAACAAAUUACAUCAAAGACUGGCCACAAAUAAUUGGUUCACAGUUUAAAAUAAUCCAAUCAUUCAAUCAACAUAUAAAAUUCCUAGACAUCGCUCGACUAGAA